rnacentral:rRNA from 1 species
GAUGAACGCUAGCGGCAGGCCUAAUACAUGCAAGUCGAGGGGCAGCAUUCACUUCGGUGAGAUGGCGACCGGCGCACGGGUGCGUAACGCGUAUGCAACCUACCCUUUACUGCGGGAUAGCCCGGGGAAACUCGGAUUAAUACCGCAUGGUACCAAUUGAGGGCAUCUAAAGAUGGUUAAAGAUUUAUCGGUAAAGGAUGGGCAUGCGUGACAUUAGUUAGUUGGUGAGGUAACGGCUCACCAAGACGACGAUGUCUAGGGGGUCUGAGAGGAUGAUCCCCCACACUGGCACUGAGAUACGGCCAGACUCCUACGGGAGCAGCAGUAGGGAAUAUUGGUCAAUGGGCGAAAGCCUGAACCAGCCAUGCCGCGUGCAGGAGACGGCCUUCUGGGUUGUAAACUGCUUUUUUAUCAGGGAACAAAAGCUCCUGCGGGAGAAAUUGCGUGUACCUGAAGAAUAAGGACCGG